rnacentral:rRNA from 1 species
AGUGAACGCUGGCGGUAGGCCUAACACAUGCAAGUCGAACGGCAGCACAGUAAGAGCUUGCUCUUACGGGUGGCGAGUGGCGGACGGGUGAGGAAUACAUCGGAAUCUACUUUUUCGUGGGGGUUAACGUAGGGAAACUUACGCUAAUACCGCAUACGACCUACGGGUGAAAGCAGGGGAUCUUCGGACCUUGCGCGAUUGAAUGAGCCGCUGCCGGAGUAGCUAGUUGGCGGGGUAAAGGCCCAGUCAGGCGACGAUGCGUAGCUGGUCGGAGAGGAUGAUCGGCGGCAUUGGAAGUGAGACACGGUCCAGAGUCCUACGGGAGGCAGCAGUGGGGAAUAUUGGACAAAGGGCGCAAGCCUGAUCCAGCCAUACCGCGUGGGAGGAGAAGGCCUUCGGGUUGUAAAGCCCUUUUGUUGGGAAAGAAAAGCAGCAGGUUAAUACCCCGCUGUUCUGACGGUACCCAAAGAAUAAGCACCGGCUAACUUCGUG